CUACGGGGUGCUGCAGUGGGGAAUAUUGCACAAUGGGCGCAAGCCUGAUGCAGCCAUGCCGCGUGUAUGAAGAAGGCCUUCGGGUUGUAAAGUACUUCCAGCGGGGAGGAAGGGAGUAAAGUUAAUACCUUUGCUCAUUGACGUUACCCGCAGAAGAAGCACCGGCUAACUCCGUGCCAGCAGCCGCGGUAAUACGGAGGGUGCAAGCGUUAAUCGGAAUUACUGGGCGUAAAGCGCACGCAGGCGGUUUGUUAAGUCAGAUGUGAAAUCCCCGGGCUCAACCUGGGAACUGCAUCUGAUACUGGCAAGCUUGAGUCUCGGAGAGGGGGGUAGAAUUCCAGGUGUAGCGGUGAAAUGCGUAGAGAUCUGGAGGAAUACCGGUGGCGAAGGCGGCCCCCUGGACGAAGACUGACGCUCAGGUGCGAAAGCGUGGGGAGCAAACAGGAUUAGAUACCCGGGUAGUC
rnacentral:rRNA from 1 species